rnacentral:rRNA from 1 species
AUUGAACGCUGGCGGCAUGCUUUACACAUGCAAGUCGAGCGGCAGCGCGGGGGCAACCCUGGCGGCGAGCGGCGGACGGGUGAGUAAUGCAUCGGAACGUAUCCCGUAGUGGGGGACAACCCAGCGAAAGCUGGGCUAAUACCGCAUAUGCUCUACGGAGGAAAGUGGGGGACCCGGCAAGGGCCUCACGCUAUGGGAGCGGCCGAUGUCCGAUUAGCUAGUUGGUGGGGUAAAGGCCUACCAAGGCGACGAUCGGUAGCUGGUCUGAGAGGAUGAUCAGCCACACUGGGACUGAGACACGGCCCAGACUCCUACGGGAGGCAGCAGUGGGGAA